GCUUUUAGUUCAGUGGUUAGAGCGUUCGACUCCCAUGCCGGUGUUGAGGUGGCGGGUUCGAGAGCCGUGAGCG
rnacentral:tRNA from 1 species